AUGGUUACUUUAACUGAGAUUCAGCUGCAGCAGCCUGGGGCUGAGCUGGUGAGGCCUGGGUCCUCAGUGAAGUUGUCCUGCAAGGCUUCAGGCUAUAGUUUCACUGGCUACUAUAUGCCCUGGGUGGUGCAGAGGCCUGGAGAGGGCCUGGAGUGGAUUGGAAGGAUAAAUCCUGCAAAUGGUAAUACUAAGUAUAAUCAGAAGUUCCAGAGCAAGGCCACACUGACUGUAGAUAAAUCCUCCAGCACAGCCUACAUGGAGCUCAGCAGCCUGACCUCUGAGGACUCUGUGGUCUAUUACUGUGGGAGACACAGUGUUGAAAUCCACAUCCUGAGUGUGUCAGAAACCCUGGGGGAGCAGGAAGCUCCCCUGGGACUGAGAUAA